CCCAUGGAUACAGCCUGGCGAUGCAUUUAGAAUGAGGCAAUUACACAAUUUUACACACGCACGCAUCCUACACACUCAGUCAUACACACUUAGUACAUUUUAUUAUAUUCAGAGUUGUUGGAUUUGUUAUUAUUAAUGUAUAUGCAGAGAGAGAGAGAGAGAGAGAGAGAGAGAGAGAUUCCUAACAAAUAUUAAUGCAGGGAUGAGUCAUCCUCCACAGCAUCACACACACACACACACACACACACACACACACACACACACACACACACACACACACACACACACACACACACACACACACACACACACACACACACACACACACACACACCUCUUUAUUCAUAGUUUAGUCUGUCUCUAUCUGGCUCUACAUGUUCAAUGUAGAGCGAGAGAUGUGUUCAUCUACAAUUCUUCAAUUCAAUUUGUGAUUGGAUGUACAGAGAUGGUAUUUAAAGCGGUCCGUCUGUCUGGAUGUACAGCGUGUGUACAGACACCAGCAGGUACCUGAAGGUGUGCGGUCGCUAUCGACAGAACGUGAAGGUACAGAAAUACACAGACGUCUUCACAGUGGUCGUCCUGAGAGGUUUGGGAUCAGUCAGUGAAGUGGAGCUGGCAGGUCUGUCUCUCAGGAGCAGGUCUGUCUCUCUGAGGAGCAGGUCUGUCUCUCAGGAGCAGGUCUGUCUCUCUGAGGAGCAGGUCUGUCUGUCUCUCUGAGGAGCAGGUCUGUCUGUCUCUCUGAGGAGCAGGUCUGUCUCUCUCAGGAGCAGGUCUGUCUCUCUCAGGAGCAGGUCUGUCUCUCUGAGGAGCAGGUCUGUCUCUCAGGAGCAGGUCUGUCUCUGAGGAGCAGGUCUGUCUGUCUCUCUGAGGAGCAGGUCUGUCUCUCAGGAGCAGGUCUGUCUCUGAGGAGCAGGUCUGUCUCUCAGGAGCAGGUCUGUCUCUCAGGAGCAGGUCUGUGGAGGUGUAUAGAGCCCUGGUAGCUAGUGCUAACCCUGUUAGGAGCAGACAGACAGCCAGCAGCUCUGCCUCCGAGGGCCGGCGGAGGCAGCGUGUCGAGGGCGCCGGGUCGGGGGCCAGUCCCAGGUGGUUCCUGGGACUCCUGGGGAGGUUUCGCUUAUGAAUUCUUUAUUUUAGCCUGAAAUCCCCUGCAAAAAUCCAGCUCCUCCAAACAAUAAUGAAAC
ensembl:lncRNA